AUGCAUUCUAGGAAGUAUGGAAGAACGCUACACAUUAAACAAAGACCAUCUCUGGGACAGAAGCAAGGAGGCACCAAUUCCUUAUGCUCUUCAUUUAGUGUAUGAGGUUUUUGUGGGUUUUUUUUGUUUGUUUGUUUUUUGCUUUGCAAUAUAUUUAUAUAUUAUUUUUUGGAGAGUGAUAAAACAUUUUUUAAAAAGAAAAGCUCUGAGUUCCCCAGUGGCUCAGGGGUUCAGGCUCUGGCACUGUCAGUGCUGUAAUCUGGGUUCCGUCCCUGGCCCAGGAACUUCCACAUACCACGGACAGAUGCAGUCAAUCAAUCAAUCAAUAGAAUAGCUUCAAAGGGUAAAUGUACAUUAAACUAAUGUUUAAUUAGUUAGGAUCAUGAUUUCUUCCUUUUUCUAUGUUGUCACUUUUGUUAUUAGGAGAAAAAUAAUGUAGUAUUUUAAUUACUCAUGGUCAAUACUAUAGAUGUUGACACUAAUCUUUAAUGUGAGCAAAAAAAGUCCAGAUUUUUACCAAAUCUUUCAUAAAAAUAGUAAUCAUGACUUCUCCUUUCUCUAUGCAUGGGCAUGGCCAAGAGAAGAACUGGUUUCAAGUCUACAAGUAUACUUACUCCCCCCAUUGCAGGCAGUGCAUAUCUCUGGGGGUUGGGAUUUAGGAACUCACUUAUUCACUUUAAACUGACUUGGUUUACAAGCAACAUGUAUUUGUCUAAAUAACUAGAAACUCAGACAGGAUUUUAGAAUGGUGGUGGCAGGAACAUAGUCUUACAACCUCUCCCACAUUUUCUAGACAAGAAAAUCAGUCUAUGGACACUAUUUACAACAAAAUUACGUUACCCAAACAAACCCCCUCCCCAAACCCCCAAAGACUAACAGAUGUACACUAACAAACCACCAACAGCCAUAGACCAAACAAGGAAGCAAUUUGGAGGAGGGAUGGUGUGCAGCUGACAAGGCUAUGACAGUGGUCCAACCAGGAGAUGAAGUUGGCCUGGAGAAUAAAGCAAUGGCAGUGAGCAAGGAGAAGCCCAGAAUAUGAGACAAAAAAAAUUGGAAGCAGAAAGGAGACAAUGUGGUCAUCAAUAAAAUAAGAAAAUAUAAGAGUAGGAGGGAGAAGGAAAAUAUGGAAAUUCAUUUUUACCUGCUAGAUGAACAAUAGCAUUAAUAACUGAUAUCAAGCCCAUUUUAUAGAAUGGUGUAACAGGUGGUGGAAAAAAGUUGUCUGGGGAAAAACAAGUUUGGUGGGACUACGGAACAACCAGUAAUUGUCUUAGAAAUAUAUGUAUCUAAACAUCUGAGGUGAUGAUAAAGUCAAAGGAUAGAAA
rnacentral:lncRNA from 1 species